GAUGAACGCUGGCGGCGCGCUUAACACAUGCAAGUCGAACGGUGAACGAGGGAGCUUGCUCCCUCCGGAUCAGUGGCGAACGGGUGAGUAACACGUGAGCAAUCUGCCCUGGACUCUGGGAUAAGCGUUGGAAACGACGUCUAAUACCGGAUACGAGGCGUGGGGGCAUCCCCAACGCCUGGAAAGAACUUCGGUCCAGGAUGAGCUCGCGGCCUAUCAGGUAGUUGGUGAGGUAAUGGCUCACCAAGCCUACGACGGGUAGCCGGCCUGAGAGGGUGACCGGCCACACUGGGACUGAGACACGGCCCAGACUCCUACGGGAGGCAGCAGUGGGGAAUAUUGCACAAUGGGCGAAAGCCUGAUGCAGCAACGCCGCGUGAGGGACGACGGCCUUCGGGUUGUAAACCUCUUUUAGCAGGGAAGAAGCGAAAGUGACGGUACCUGCAGAAAAAGCACCGGCUAACUACGUGCCAGCAGCCGCCGUAAUAC
rnacentral:rRNA from 1 species